rnacentral:antisense_RNA from 1 species
AACUCCGCGGCGGCGGGCGGCCACGUGACUGCAGCUCCGCUCCCACCUCGGCGGGCGCCCCUUACCCGCCCAGGCUUUCUUCCCGCCAGGCCCCCUCCACCCGAUCGCCGCGCGCUCUCCGAACCAAAAGGCGACCUCACGAAAUGCCCCUUUGAGCUCAAAGGCUAGUUACCCCCAGGGGCCCUUCCACUCUCGAGGACAGGCAAAACCUCUUUGUCUCUGCUUCGGCCCGCGGCCCCCAGCCCAGCCUCCGCGCUUUCGCUCCGCCAGUCCUUGUCAAUCAAACCUGAUGCCAAACGCGGCAGCUGAAGUUUUCAGGGACACAUUUGCUUCUCCCCUUGAAGAACCAAUUACAAAGCCUGAUUUCCUCUCUGGGGUCCCAUCAGAACAAAGAAACAGGCUGUACAAGAAGCAUGAUGCCAGCAUCUGCUUCUGGUGAUAACCUCAAGAAGUUUACAAUUGGCCGCGUGCGGUAGCUCAUGCCUGUAAUGCCAGCACUUUGGGAGACAGAGACAGAUGGAUCAUUUGAGGGCAGGAGUUCGAGACCAGGUUGGCCA